UACGUAGGUCGCGAACGUUAUUCGGAUUUACUGGGCUUAAAGGGCGUGUAGGCGGCUUCGUAAGUCAAGGUUGAAAUCCGGCGGCUCACCCGUCGAACUGGCCUUGAUACUGCGGAGCUUGAGUCAUGGAGGGGUGCGCGGAACUUGUGGUGGAGCGGUGAAAUGCUCAGAUAUCACAGGGAACACCGGAGGCGAAGGCGGCGACCUGGCCAUGUACUGACGCUGUAGCGCGAAAGCCAGGGGAGCGAACGGG
rnacentral:misc_RNA from 1 species